GCUGGAUGUGGUGGUGCAUGCCUGUAAUCCCAGCUACUUGGGAGGCUGAGUCAGGAGAAUUGCUUGAACCCAGGAGGCAGAGGUUGCAGUGAGCUGAGAUUGCGCCACUGCACUCCAGCCUGGGUGACAGAGCAAGACUCUGUCUCAA
rnacentral:SRP_RNA from 2 species